ensembl:miRNA mir23a-1 microRNA mir-23a-1
AUUUGAGUCUGUCGGCCAGGGGAAUUCCUGGCAGAGUGAUUUUUGAGACUACAGGACUGAAUCACAUUGCCAGGGAUUUCCAAUGGCUGCCAUGAAU